UUUUCGGUGUCACCUGGAGCACGAGGGCUUGCAGGAGCCCCUGGUCUUGGCUUGGGAGGACAAAACAGCUACAAUGUGGUGGAUCCCUGUGGCAAUUGUGGCCGCCAUAAACGUGGGACUUUGGAUUCUCUUCCUGAGAGCACAAGGCAUCCUGUGGCAGCUGGAGGUCCCAGAAGGCUCCGGAAGCCGCUCUGCCAAUAUGACACAGGCAAGAAAGGAAUCAGCCGUGGCUCAAAAGGUGGAGCUCCUGAGCAGGGCAGUUGGAGACGUCUAACCAGGACUGAAUAUCAGAAUCAGAAUGCAGCUGGAAGGGACCUUGGAGGUCUUCUAGUCCAGCCCG